UACGUAGGGUGCGAGCGUUAAUCGGAAUUACUGGGCGUAAAGCGUGCGCAGGCGGUUCGACAAGUCCGAUGUGAAAGCCCCGGGCUCAACCUGGGAAUGGCAUUGGAAACUGGCGAGCUUGAGUGUGGCAGAGGGGGGUGGAAUUCCGCGUGUAGCAGUGAAAUGCGUAGAGAUGCGGAGGAACACCGAUGGCGAAGGCAGCCCCCCUGGGCUGACACUGACGCUCAGGCACGAAAGCGUGGGGGAGCAAACAGG
rnacentral:rRNA from 1 species